CAUGUGGUGUCACAAUUGGAAUGAGAACAAUUUAAAAUCCUUAUCGAGGAUCGAUUGGAGGGCAAGUCUGGUGCCAGCAGCCGCGGUAAUUCCAGCUCCAAUAGCGUAUAUUAAAUUUGUUGCGGUUAGAAGGCUCGUAGUUGAAAUUUGCGCGUGUCCGAUUGGUCCAGCAAGUCUGCGCACUGAUUGGAUGCGUGCUUUGUCUGGGUUUACGGCUGUGGUCCUUGAUUGGGCUGUGGUUGUGGCUCGUGACGAUUACUUUGAACAAAUUAGAGUGUUUAAAGCGGGCGGCAAUGCCGUGAAUACAUUAGCAUGGAAUAACGUAUAGGACUUUGGUUCUAUUUUGUUGGUUUUAGGGACCAAGGUAAUGAUUAAUAGGGACAGUUGGGGACAUUAAUAUUUAGUUGUCAGAGGUGAAAUUCUUAGAUUUACGAAAGAUUAACUUCUGCGAAAGCAUUUGUCAAAGAUGUUUUCAUUAAUCAAGAACGAAAGUUAGGGGAUCGAAGAUGAUUAGAUACCGUCGUAGUCUUAACCAUAAACGUUGCCGACUAGGGAUUGGAAGAUGUUAUUUUUACGACUCCUUCAGCACCUUAUGAGAAAUCAAAGUCUUUGGGUUCCGGGGGGAGUAUGGUCGCAAGGCUGAAACUUAAAGGAAUUGACGGAAGAGCACCACCAGGUGUGGAGCCUGCUGCUUAAUUUGACCCAACACGGGAAAACUUACCAGGUCCAGACACAAGUAGGAUUGACAGAUUGAAAGCUCUUUCAUGAUUUUGUGGGUGGUGGUGCAUGGCCGUUCUUAGUUCGUGGAUUGAUUUGUCUGCUUAAGUGCGAUAACGAGCGAGACCUCCACGCUAUAAUAGUUACGUGAUCUCGCGAUCACGGGCAACUUCUUUAGCGGACUGUUGCGUGUUUUAACCAAAGGAAGAUGGAGGCCAUAACAGGUCUGUGAUGCCCUUAGAUGUUCUGGGCCGCACGCGCGCUACACUGAUGAAUGCAACAAGUUACAGUUUCCUUUGCCGAAAGGCAUGGGCAAUCUUUGAAACUUCUGAUGGGGAUAGAUCUUUGUAAUUUUGGAUCUUGAACGAGGAAUACCUUGUAAGUGCAAGUCAACAACUUGCGCUGAAUACGUCCCUGCUCUUUGUACACACCGCCCGUCGCUCCUACCGAUUGGAUGGUCCGAUGAGGUUUUCGGAGGUUUUGGGUGAUUCUGGCAACAGAACCCCAGAGGCUGAAGUUACCCUAAUCUUAUCAUCUAGAGGAAGGAGAAGUCGUAACAAGGU
rnacentral:rRNA from 1 species